AUUGAACGCUGGCGGCAGGCCUAACACAUGCAAGUCGAGCGGAUGAAGGGAGCUUGCUCCUGGAUUCAGCGGCGGACGGGUGAGUAAUGCCUAGGAAUCUGCCUGGUAGUGGGGGAUAACGUCCGGAAACGGGCGCUAAUACCGCAUACGUCCUGAGGGAGAAAGUGGGGGAUCUUCGGACCUCACGCUAUCAGAUGAGCCUAGGUCGGAUUAGCUAGUUGGUGGGGUAAAGGCCUACCAAGGCGACGAUCCGUAACUGGUCUGAGAGGAUGAUCAGUCACACUGGAACUGAGACACGGUCCAGACUCCUACGGGAGGCAGAAGUGGGGAAUAUUGGACAAUGGGCGAAAGCCUGAUCCAGCCAUGACGCGUGUGUGAAGAAGGUCUUCGGAUUGUAAAGCACUUUAAGUUGGGAGGAAGGGCAGUAAGUUAAUACCUUGCUGUUUUGACGUUACCAACAGAAUAAGCACCGGCUAACUUCGUG
rnacentral:rRNA from 1 species